AGAGUUUGAUCCUGGCUCAGAUUGAACGCUGGCGGCAUGCCUUACACAUGCAAGUCGAACGGCAGCAUGAUCUAGCUUGCUAGAUUGAUGGCGAGUGGCGAACGGGUGAGUAAUACAUUGGAACGUGCCCUGUAGUGGGGGAUAACUAGUCGAAAGAUUAGCUAAUACCGCAUACGACCUGAGGGUGAAAGUGGGGGACCGCAAGGCCUCAUGCUAUAGGAGCGGCCGAUGUCUGAUUAGCUAGUUGGUGGGGUAAAGGCCCACCAAGGCGACGAUCAGUAGCUGGUCUGAGAGGACGAUCAGCCACACUGGGACUGAGACACGGCCCAGACUCCUACGGGAGGCAGCAGUGGGGAAUUUUGGACAAUGGGCGAAAGCCUGAUCCAGCAAUGCCGCGUGUGUGAAGAAGGCCUUCGGGUUGUAAAGCACUUUUGUCCGGAAAGAAAUGGCUCUGGUUAAUACCUGGGGUCGAUGACGGUACCGGAAGAAUAAGGACCGGCUAACUACGUGCCAGCAGCCGCGGUAAUAC
rnacentral:rRNA from 1 species